rnacentral:tRNA from 1 species
GGCUCGGUGGCUUAAUGGUUACGGCUUCUGCCUCACAAGCAGAAGGUUCAGGGAUCAAAUCCCGGCCGGUACC